CGAGCGGCCCGAUUUAUUCCGGGCCGGGCGCACAGGCGGCAAGGACCCGCGCCGGCCACAGCAUGCAGGAACCCCGCGUGCUGGCCGCGCUCUGCGGCGCGCUGCUCUGCGCCUCCGGCCUCCUGGCCGCCUCGGACUGCAUCAGGGGCUGGGCAUGGAGGGGCUCCAUCGCUGACUCUGCAAAUCUCCGCCUCGUCCCUAUACUUGGGCUUCAUGGGUUUGCAGCGCACUGGGCUCAGAGCUGGCCCGGCUGCACGCGCGGGCACGGGCAUUGUCAAUGCCUGGACGGCCAGCAACUAUGACAGAAAGCCCUGGAUCCAGGUGAACCUCCUUCGGAAGAUGCGGGUGUCAGGCGGGUGACGCAGGGCGCCAGCCGCGCAGGCAGUGCCGAGUACGUUGAAGACCUUCAGAGUGGCCUACAGCCUCGAUGGACUUGUAAGUUCCACUUCAUCCAGGAUGGAGAGGGCUCUGGGGACAAGGUGUUCGAGGGUAACAUGAACAACAGCGGCCUGAAGCUCAACCUGUUCAGCACCCCCGCUGGAGGUCCAGUAUGUGAGGCUGUACCCCGUGGCCUGCCACAGGGGCUGCACCCUGCGCUUUGAGCUCGUGGGCUGUGAACUGAACGGAGGUUGGAGUGCAUGGAUGCUCCGAACCCCUGGGCCUGAAGGAUGGCACCAUCCCCGACAGGCAGAUCACAGCCUCCAGCAGCUAUAAGAUGUGGGGCCUUGAGGAGCCUUCAGCUGGUCGCCUCUUCUUGAGAGGCUGGACAAUCAGGGCAAGUUCAACGCCUGGACAGCACAGAGCAACUCUCCCAAUGCCUCUGAGUGGCUGCAGGUUGACCUGGGCUCCCAGAAGCAGGUGGAGGGGAUCAUCACCCAAGGCGCCGUGACUUUGGCCACAUCCAGUGCGUGGCUUCCUACAAGGUGGCCUACAGCAACAAUGGUGUCAACUGGGUUGAGUACAAGGAGCCAGGGGCUGUGGACAGCAAGAUCUUCCAAGGCAACUUGGACAACAACUCCCACAAGAAGAAUGUGUUUGAGACGCCCUUCUUGGCUCGCUAUGUGCGCGUGCUGCCUGUGUCCUGGCAAAACCGCAUCACCCUGCGCCUGGAGCUGCUGGGCUGCUAGCAUUUGCCCCGCGGGUCAGACCUGAGGGACCUAAGUGACCACAGGGCUGCCUCUCCACACCCUGCCUCCUGCCUGCUGCAGCCCCUUGUUCCCCUUCGGGCCUUAGAGGAGGCACCCAAGGCUGCCAUCGUCCCUCCCCUUUCCUUCCAGCUCUACAGGCCUCCCCUUCCCAGGGCCUUCGAGGGUCGGUCUGGGAUUCACUGGGAUGCACGCUGAGUCAGGUGUGUGGCUUUUCGGCACCUCCACGGAUCCCAGGCCCCCAGCUCUGGGUUGACUCUAGAGGGGCCUCUGGGCUUCCCAAGCCCCUUGCUGCAGCACCCCACAUUCCCGAGUCCCCAGAUGGAGGCCCGUGUCCCCAGACAGCAGAGUCCUCCCACCCCCAGGUGCCGGGCCAGCGAUUGCAGCCCGGGGCAGAUGCUGCCAGCCAGCUCUGCGCCUCCCCGACGCGUCUCCUUAUCUCGCCAGAGACCCCUCUUGACCCUGUCCCUAGGAAGAAGACGGAGGGGGUGCUGGGUCUGUGGAGAGACAGGAGACUGGAGCCAGCCUGGCGGUGAGCGGGAGGCUGGCUGGGUGGGCAGGGGUCUCUGUGCUGUCCCCUCACCCAGGCCACGGGCAGCUUCCCAAAUAUAUUUGUAUUCACCACUGGAAUCGGCUGUGCUUCCUCAUUGCUCGCCAUCGCUCUUCCCAGGGGCACUUACUGCAUUCUGGCCCCCACCUCCACCUGGAUUCUCCGGUUACCUGUCCAGCUGCAUAGAGAGCAGGAGGUGGGACACUGGGGGCGGUGCUGACCCACCUCUUCCCCUCCUUUUCCUUCUCCAUCUCCAUCCCUGUCUGGCUUGGCCAUAGCUGCUGCUUGGUGCGAGGCCAGGGAGUGCCUGGCACUGAGUCUGUCUCCUGGCUUGCCUCUGUCUCCUUCCCACGCCAGGAAGACCGGCAGCCACUGCGGGCUUCCCCUCCAGCAAUUUCCC
ensembl:lncRNA